UCAAAGUGGAACCCAGAAACCACUUUAAAAAACGGGGCGAAGCCGAAAAGCCAAACGAGUAGGCAUUCC
rfam:Algoriphagus sp. A40 NODE_8_length_197618_cov_9.34626_ID_15, whole genome shotgun sequence.